UUUCUCUAGGAUGGAUGUUUGUUUGACUCCUAUGAAGUGGGACACGUCUGCAUCUACAUGUUUAGAGAAGUCAAUUUCUUUGGGAAGUUUCAGACAAGCCUUUAGACUGCACCUGGGCUCCAGUGGAACCUGAGAGAAAAGGGAGGUCACCUGAAGAGGGAAGGAGUUGGUUCAAAUACAU